GUGCAUUCUCCACUACCACCAGUCCAUUCUCCACCACCACCGGUCCAUUCUCCACCACCACCACCGGUGCAUUCACCACCACCACCGGUUCAUUCUCCACCACCACCGGUUCAUUCACCACCACCACCACCACCACCACCAGUGCCUUCUCCACCACCACCGGAGCCUUCUCCGCCACCACCGGUGCAUUCUCCGCCACCACCGGUCCAUUCACCACCACCACCGGAGCCUUCUCCGCCACCACCGGUACAUUCUCCUCCACCACCGGUCCAUUCACCA
rnacentral:lncRNA from 1 species